rnacentral:rRNA from 2 species
ACGCUGGCGGCGUGCCUAAUACAUGCAAGUCGAACGAAACUUUCUUACACCGAAUGCUUGCAUUCACCGUAAGAAGUUGAGUGGCGGACGGGUGAGUAACACGUGGGUAACCUGCCUAAAAGAAGGGGAUAACACUUGGAAACAGGUGCUAAUACCGUAUAUCUCUAAGGAUCGCAUGAUCCUUAGAUGAAAGAUGGUUCUGCUAUCGCUUUUAGAUGGACCCGCGGCGUAUUAACUAGUUGGUGGGGUAACGGCCUACCAAGGUGAUGAUACGUAGCCGAACUGAGAGGUUGAUCGGCCACAUUGGGACUGAGACACGGCCCAAACUCCUACGGGAGGCAGCAGUAGGGAAUCUUCCACAAUGGACGCAAGUCUGAUGGAGCAACGCCGCGUGAGUGAAGAAGGUCUUCGGAUCGUAAAACUCUGUUGUUAGAGAAGAACACGAGUGAGAGUAACUGUUCAUUCGAUGACGGUAUCUAACCAGCAAGUCACGGCUAACUACGUGCCAGCAGCCGCGGUAA